rnacentral:misc_RNA from 1 species
GUGAGGGAGAGUCUAUAUGAUUGUUUGUUCCCAUAUCUCUCCUCCCUUCUUCCGCCUCUCUCCCUCUCCUCUCUCAACUAUGUAAACCUCAAAGAACAAAACAAAGCCAAACAAAGCAAAGACACAAAAACAAUCCUCUAGGGUUUUUCCAACUCUCAAUCUCUUCAAUUAUACGCUCUCAGAUUCCCACAAAACACCCACACAUACUCUCUCUCUCUCUCCCUCGAAUUCCAUCACUUCCCUGUAAGUUAAUGCAAAAUUCUCCCCUUUAAUUCUCUUAUAUUUUCGUUUUUGUUUAUUUGAUCAUUUCAGCCUCUAUCGAUUAGCUUUUUUAAUUUCUUCGCGUUUUCCUCUUCUCUUGUCUCCUUUCUUUUGACUUGUGUCUCUGUAAUCCGUUUUCUUUCACUUAAUCUUCUUUUUUAAGGGUUUGGAUCGCGUUUCUUAUCGCCGAUUUAUCAUUCCAAAUCUUAAUUUUUGACUAAUAAUUUGUUUCUCAAUGAAUUAUUCAUUGGAGAUGUCUAAAUUAAGCAGUGGAGACCAAUUGGAGAUUAUGGAGGAUAUUACUAUCUUGAGCAAAGUUAUCUAACAAGUGUUAUUGCAAUGCACCGCGUGGGUAGUGCAGGGAACAAUUCCAAUUCUGUUCGGCCACGCAAGGAGAAGAGGCUUACUUAUGUACUGAGUGAUGCUGAUGAUACAAAGCAUUGUGCUGGCAUUAAUUGCUUGGCUGUGUUAAAGUCAUCUGUAUCUGAUGGAAGCGAUUACCUCUUCACUGGGAGUCGUGAUGGCACACUGAAGAGAUGGGUAUUGGCUGAAGAUUCUGCUACAUGCUCUGCUACAUUUGAGUCGCAUGUUGAUUGGGUAAAUGAUGCUGUCCUUGUUGGUGAUAGCACACUUGUCUCCUGCUCUUCAGACACCACUCUCAAGACUUGGAGUUGCUUGUCCGAUGGAAUUUGUACCAGGACUCUUCGACAGCACUCUGAUUAUGUUACUUGUCUUGCUGCAGCAGAAAAAAAUAGCAAUAUUGUUGCCUCUAGUGGCCUUGGUGGGGAGGUUUUCAUAUGGGAUCUCGAAGCUGCACUUGCUCCAGUCUCAAAAUCAAAUGAUGCAAUGGAAGAUGAUUGUUCAAAUGGUGUCAGUGGUUCUGGUAAUCCAUUGCCUAUGACAAGUUUACGCACCAUUAGCUCAAGCAACAGCAUAACUAUGCAUACAACUCAGUCCCAUGGAUAUGUACCAAUUGGUGCCAAAGGCCAUAAGGAGUCAGUUUAUGCAUUGGCAAUGAAUGAGACUGGAACUAUUCUUGUCUCUGGUGGAACUGAAAAGGUUGUUCGUGUUUGGGAUCCAAGAACUGGUUCAAAGACUAUGAAGCUAAGAGGGCACACUGAUAAUAUCAGGGCUCUGCUUUUGGAUUCUUCUGGCAGGUUUUGCUUAUCUGGAUCCUCUGAUUCUAUGAUCAGACUAUGGGACCUUGGUCAGCAGCGUUGUGUGCAUUCAUAUGCUGUGCAUACAGAUUCUGUUUGGGCACUUGCCAGCACCCCAACAUUUGGCCAUGUUUAUAGUGGUGGGAGGGAUCUAUCUUUAUACUUGACAGACUUGGCAACAAGAGAGAGUCUUUUGCUUUGCUCAAAGGAGCAUCCCAUUUUGCAAUUGGCAUUGCAUGAUGAUAGCAUAUGGGUUGCGACAACAGAUUCUUCAGUUCAUAGAUGGCCUGCUGAAGGACGCAAUCCUCAAAAGGUCUUCCAAAGAGGUGGUUCAUUUUUAGCUGGAAACCUGUCCUUUUCGAGGGCAAGGAUUUCUUUAGAAGGAUCCACCCUGGUAAGAAUUCUUAUUGCAUCCUUUUCUUAUAUAUAUAUAUAAAAUAGCUGGGGUGAUCAGAUUUUUGGAUAAUUCUUUGUGUUUCUUGAAUCUUGAUGCUUUGUGCUUUGUAUUUAUCGGUUGACUAAUUAGAUUUCUAUUUUUUUCCCCUUUCACCAACUAAGGCAUGUGGCGCCAAGAAUACAUGCAUAGAAUGCUUGUAGCUAUUAUCUUUGUAAUUUAUGUUAUGAUAUGUUCUACUGCAUAUUCUAUUUUUUGUAACUUCUAACUUUUAUUGAUGAUUUGCUUUGACUUGAAUAUCUAAAAUAUGUUUAAAUAAAUCCUCUCUCUACUGGUGGACACAAACUUGUUUCUUCCUUUUUUGGUAAAUUAAGUGACAUUUGUAGGUUCCUGUCUACAAAGAACCGACCUUAAGCAUUCCUGGAACUCCAGCAAUAGUUCAGCAUGAAAUUUUAAAUAAUAGAAGGCAUGUCCUGACUAAGGAUACUGCUGGUUCAGUGAAGCUAUGGGAGAUCACAAGGGGUGUUGUAGUUGAGGACUAUGGAAAGGUUACUUGUCUUUUUCCCUUUUCCAUUUUUAUUCGAAUGUGUGGUUGUUUUUUUGCAUGGUGGUAUCUCUGACUUCUGGAAGUGGUAAGAUGGUACCACUGCUGAUAUGGUUCAUUCAUGAUGUUAUGCAUACAUUUGAAUGUGGCAGCUUUCAGGAUUGCUGUGUUGCAGUACUUAUUCAUACUUAUAAUUUUAUAUUUUUUUCCCAGGUGUCAUUUGAGGAGAAAAAGGAGCAAUUAUUUGAAAUGGUAAGCAUCCCUGGGUGGUUCACUGUGGAUACAAGGCUUGGAAGCCUGUCUGUUCAUUUGGACACACCACAGUGCUUUUCUGCAGAGAUGUAUUCUGCAGAUCUUAACAUAGCUGGAAAACCUGAAGAUGAUAAGGUUAAUCUAGCUCGUGAAACCCUUAAAGGUCUGUUGGCUCAUUGGAUGGCGAAAAGAAGGCAAAGACUUGGAUCCCAAUCUUCAGCUAAUGGGGACGUUUUAUCUGGGAAAGAUAUUACUUCCAGAAGUCUUGCUCGUUCAAGAAUUGAGAUAGAUGGUAGCGCUGAAAAUGACUCCAUGGUGUAUCCCUCGUUUGAAUUUUCAACAAAUUCCCCUCCUUCAAUUAUCACUGAAGGCUCUCAAGGAGGCCCAUGGAGAACGAAAGUGACUGAUUUAGAUGGAACUGAGGAUGAAAAGGACUUCCCUUGGUGGUGUUUGGAUUGUGUAUUGCAUAAUCGCCUUCCUCCAAGAGAAAACACCAAGUGCAGCUUUUAUCUGCAUCCUUGUGAAGGUUCAGCUGUACAGAUCCUCACGCAAGGCAAGCUGAGUGCACCCCGCAUACUGAGAAUACACAAAGUUGUCAAUUAUGUCAUAGAAAAGAUGGUCCUUGACAAACCGCUGGAUAAUCCUGAUGGAAGUUUUGCUCCUGGACUUGGUGGAGGACAGUUACAGCAUUCCACUGUUGGAGAUGGAUCCUAUCGACCUGGACUGAAGCCUUGGCAAAAGCUGAGGCCUUCCAUAGAGAUUUUGUGCAACAAUCAGGUAAUUGGAUAUUUAUUUUUUGCUUUGGGGAUGCCCUUGAAAACUGUUAUAGAUACUAGGAGCCGUUCAUUGUGAGAGAAUAAUCCUCAAUUAUACGAUAAGGUUACAGACAUGCACAAAUACAUAUAAUACGUGCAGAUUGUAUAGGAAAACAUUUGUGUACUUGUAUGACAGAUUGGAUCAGAUUUUACCUCACUGCCAACUUGCGAUGGCCUCAGCAAGCUUUUCUGCACUUGAUAUAGUUGCUAUGGCCUCGACAAGGUUUACGGCAAUUAAUGAAAUCUCAGUCAACAAAUUAAAAGACAUUGGAACAGAAACAAGAUAGCAACAAAGUUUAUAUGUAGUAUGGUCAAGUAAGUUAACACUUCAGAACUGUCUGGCAUACUUCCUUCUAUCAAAUGCUUUCUCUUGAUUAUUUUUCGUUUCCAUUUCUCAAGUGUGCCAGUCUGGCAGAUGAAUGAAAAUUUACAAUAACUUUUAGACCUCAAUUGCACUUAUUUUAAUAUGUGAUUUGUUUCACUUAAGCCAAUUAUACUUCUACUUAAGUUGUUUUAGUCGAGUAAUGUAGUUGAACCACAAACCAAAGGCUAGAGAUGUUUGGUGCUUCUGCCUAAUGAUUCUACAUUUUUUAGGUCUUAUCCCCAGACAUGAGCUUAGCCACCGUGAGAGCUUACAUAUGGAAGAAACCUGAGGAUCUGGUCCUUAACUACAGACUGGUUCAGGGCAGGUGACUCCAUACAACUUUUGGGAGGAGAACAAAUGGUUGCUCUAUUUUCAGACUGUUAUUUAAUGGGUUACAGGGGGAACUUGGCUCUCUGAUGGAAAUAUUGUGCUUGUGUAAAAUAUUGGGGAACACAUUGGUUCUUCAGGGGUCCUCAGCAUAAUCAGUCUUAUAAUGAUCCUUGUAAAUUUGGAAAAGCAAUUGAUUUCUGGCCAUUCUCCAAACUAGCUGAGAAGAUCUUGGUUAGCGUUUUCCUUUGUUGGACUGAUGGUGUAUAACUUUUGAACCUCGUCUAGCCAGCAUGCAAGCUAUUUUUGAUGGACAUAGCAAAGUCAUAGGGCAAGUCUGCACGUGGCAAUAGAAGGGUUUGUGACUGUUGAGAGUUAAUGGCAAGGAGCUUGCUAAGCGGUGCCAACUAGAGUCAUGAUGUGGAAAGCUUUGUAGAUUUGUAUUGUUGGUACAAUACAUAGCCAUAGAAACUGUUAUUAAGGUUUUUCUUUAUUUUUUUAUUAUGUUCUUUUUGCUUUUCGUGGAAAUAAUACAAUUUCCAUUCAUUUUGAUCUAGUCAUUUUAUUUAUCUGCCUACAAUUUUUUUGCCCACUUCGAAUGCUCCCAUGUAACCUUUUUUGAGGUGAACAAUACUCUGUAACUGCAGAAGUAUUCGGUGAGAGCAUUUAAAGAGAUUAUAGGCUUCUUACCACUCUAACCUACACUUUUACGUGCAGGCAAUUGAAUGUUUGAACCUGCUAUAGUUGUACUCAUUAUUUUUCCAUCGAAAUAUCUUUUUAUCUUUUUAUUUUUUCUAUUGGAAUUCAAUUUGUACGUGGUCCAUGCGCAUACGCAUACUCGUGUGUAAUUGGGUUAUUUAGUAGUCCAGUGGGGCUUAGCAAUUUUG